rnacentral:rRNA from 1 species
CGCGAAACCUCCGCAAUGCGAGCAAUCGCGACGGGGGGACCCCAAGUGCUACUCUUAACGGGGUAGCUUUUCUAAAGUGUAAAAAGCUUCAGGAAUAAGGGCUGGGCAAGACCGGUGCCAGCCGCCGCGGUAACACCGGCAGCUCUAGUGGUGGCCGCUUUUAUUGGGCCUAAAGCGUUCGUAGCCGGCCUGAUAAGUCUCUGGUGAAAUCCCGCAGCUUAACUGUGGGAAUUGCUGGAGAUACUAUCAGGCUUGAGGCCGGGAGAGGCUGGAGGAACUCCCAGGGUAGGGGUGAAAUCCUAUAAUCCUGGGAGGACCACCUGUGGCGAAGGCGUCCAGCUGGAACGGACCUGACGGUGAGUAACGAAAGCCAGGGGCGCGAACCG